ensembl:snRNA U1 U1 spliceosomal RNA
AUACUUAGCUGGCAGGGGAUAUACAAUGAUCUCGAAGGUGGUUUUCCCAGGGCGAGGCUUAUCCAUUGCACUCUGGCUGUGCUACCCCCCCCCCCAAUUUUCCCAAAUGUAGGAAACUCGGCUGCAUAAUUUAUGGUUGUGGGGGACUGAGAUUCUGCUUGCUUCUG